UUCCUCCCUGAAGGCCAGCCUCCACCUGGGAUGGGGCGAGGGCCUCCACGGCUGCUGCAUAAAUCAGAAGGAACUGGGAGCUGCCUGGGAAACCAGGGCCAGGUUUGGAGGAGAACAUUGUAUGAUGUGGUUCCUAGUUUUUAUUUCCACGAAUGCUAUAAUAUGUUAUCCUACCGAGCUAUUUUUAUUGAAUGAAAAGAUUUUAAAAAAGCAAACCUCUACAAAACCAACAGCCCUCUGUUACAGGGAAGGACAAGGUGAACUUUUCACUUCCUUCCCCACAGCCUAUCAACUCAUCUGCGGUUUGGUGUCACCCACACUUCCGUACUAUAUUCAAUCUCAAUUUUUGCCUCCUUGUUUUUGAAACUGCAAGAGCAAGGCUUUUCAACUCAUGUUGCUCCUGCAUGUUGCAUGAGACUUGCAAAAGACUCUUUUUAGUGAGUUGUCACAACUGAUUGCAGAGAGGCCAGAUGCCAGCCUGGAGGCAGAGCAGGAACCAACCACGGUGAACCAACCAUGGUGGCAUCUUGAUCUUGGGCUUCCAGACUUCAAAACUAUGAGAUUCAGUGAUUCCCCAGGGUCAUGAAGAGGUGUAGAACUCUGAGGUUGAGCCUCUGCUUUCAUAUUUCCCAGUGAGGACGCCCACCGGUUGGCAGCAGAGUGAGGUUGAUGUGGGACUCAAGAUGAGACAUUUAUGAAACUGCAAAGUGUUUUAUGCACUGAAACACUCGUUACCAUCAGCUUUAAGAUGGUGGCUGUCUGUGAAAUCCUGGCUGUUAGCUGCCAUCUUCCCUGUCUUCCUCCUUGCACACUUAGGUCUUAAUCCAAUUAUUCAGCAAAAAGCAGCAUGAGAUCACCUUCCAACAUCUCUCCAGCUCCUUUGGGGUAGGUGAAAAGGGCUUUCCGUGGUGGGGCAAGGUCUGAGACACUGAAAC